GAUGAACGCUAGCGGCAGGCCUAAUACAUGCAAGUCGAACGGUGUCUUCGGACAUAGUGGCGCACGGGUGCGUAACACGUAUGCAACCUACCUUGCAUUGGGGGAUAGCCUUUCGAAAGGGAGAUUAAUACCGCAUAAGACAGUAGCUGGGCAUCCAGCAGCUGUUAAAGAUUUAUCGAUGUAAGCUGGGCAUGCGUCCAAUUAGCUAGUUGGUGAGGUAACGGCUCACCAUGGCAAUGAUUGGUAGGGGAACUGAGAGGUCAAUCCCCCACACUGGCACUGAGAUACGGGCCAGACUCCUACGGGAGGCAGCAGUAGGGAAUAUUGGGCAAUGGACGCAAGUCUGACCCAGCCAUGCCGCGUGCAGGAUGAAGGCGUUAUGCGUUGUAAACUGCUUUUAUACAGGAAGAAACGACUCUUGCGAGAGGCAUUGACGGUACUGUAUGAAUAAGCACCGGCUAACUCCGUGCCAGCCGCCGCGGUAAUAC
rnacentral:rRNA from 1 species